rnacentral:rRNA from 1 species
CCUACGGGUGGCUGCAGUCGAGAAUCAUUCACAAUGGGGGAAACUCUGAUGGUGCGACGCCGCGUGGGGGAAUGAAGGUCUUCGGAUUGUAAACUCCUGUCAUGUGGGAGCAAAUUAAAAAGAUAGUAUUACAUGAGGAAGAGAUGGCUAAGUUGGUGCCAGCAGCCGCGGUAAUACAGAGGUCACAAGCGUUGUUCGGAAUCACUGGGCGUAAAGCGUGCGCAGGCGGUUUCGUAAGUCGUGUGUGAAAGGCGCGGGCUCAACCCGCGGACGGCACAUGAUACUGCGAGACUGGAGUGAUGGAGGGGGAACCGGAAUUCUCUGUGUAGCAGUGAAAUGCGUAGAUAUCGAGAGGAACACUCGUGGCGAAGGCGGGUUCCUGGACAUUAACUGACGCUGAGGCGCGAAGGCCAGGGGAGCGAAAGGGAUUAGAUACCCUUGUAGUC